rnacentral:lncRNA from 1 species
GCGCAGCGGCUGCAGCUGAAGAAGCUGGCCGGAUGCCGAGCCAUGAAAUGCGUUCCUGUCUUUUUCUUUCUCCUCCUCUUCUGGCGUCCCGUCCAUCGNCGGACCGCCGUGGACCCCACCCGCGCUUUUUGCCCUGGAGGCCCUUCUUAAGACCUGAGAGCCUCUGAGAUGAAGGUUUCUUGGAUUCAGAUUCUCGGAAAGGUGAUUCGGUCGGAAGAAUUGAGAGCAAAACGCAAAGCCUCUGGGAUGUCUGUGCGCCUGUUUGCCGCACNGACGUGCUUCUCUCUAGUUCGCCAGCGGAAGCUUAAGCUGCUGUGGAACGCGAGAAAAGUCCGAAUUUUCUAGUGGAAACGCAUUGGUGUCUUCUGGCAGAUUGGGACAUGUCGGUAAAAGUGGAACGGAGGUCCUCACGGGAGGAUAGAAAAGAAAGGCGCAUUCUGAGACUGCUAGGGAAACUUUGUGUGGGCAGUUGCGUCUAGGACCCCUCGAAGGGGAGGCUGGUGAAUGCUUGCCAAGUUAGGAGCCAAAAUGGGUUCUUUCGGCCACCUGGCUUCUCUUCUUUUUCUGCACUUCCCGUCACACCAGAGCGCGCUCCAUCGUUUUAUGCAGCCCCAACAAGAAAUCUGCUUUGAAUAUCUUUAUCUCUAAUUCAAAUCGCUAAGGUACAUUUAGUAGCUACGUGGCAGCCCUGUUCACACUUUUCCCUUUUCUGGCAAGAAGACAGUGCUCAGACAGUUUGUCUGUUUCUGUAAGGUAUACACGUGAAUGCUUAUAACAACAUCCUAUCUGGGCUGGAAUAGCAAAUGAUCACUGUCAAUAGAGGGGAUUCUAGAAUUUUGAUGCAAUAGCAUCCCCCCCCCCCACAUCCCGAAACUUUUUAUAAUUGGAAUCUGAUGGGACCUAUUCUACACAGAUACAAGUGCCUAGAACUGCGGUGCCCAAUGGCCAUGUUUGGUAGGGCAGCACACGUCUCCGUCCAGCCUUCUCUUCCUUUCCGAAGUAGCUGGCGAUAGGAUUGCAACUUUAUUUAAAGCACCACGAAGUCCUCCACAAUGACUUUCCGUACUGGGACGAGAGAAACGAAAUGGGGCUUUCCUGCGAUUGCUAACACUUUCCCAUAAUUUUCUUCCGCGCUGCGCUUUGCCUGCGAAGGAGCUGAGAUCAAUGUGUAUUGAGGGCGAGAACUCCUUUCUCGUACCCGUCAAGGGCAACUUUCUGAAGAAAAAUAAGCUCUAGAAUCAGCUAUUCCCAUUCUUAAAAAGAAAACAAACUCCCAACUUCUUCAGUUGGAGCUAGAUCAUAUUCCCGAAUCUCCAACGGUGAAAGUUGAAAAUGCUCCCCUUGG